AUCGCUGGAGUUUGUGAUCUCGUCGUGUCUGUCUUGCUGUCGUUUCUCAACGUCGACUCUUCUAAAAAUUCGGUCUCUUUUUGCAGCUUCAGGAUCUUGUCACCAACGGUAGCAGCCAUGUGUAGAAAUGAAGAAAAGCUGUUGCAGGCUACUGUUACAGUCCGUAAUGAGUGUAGUAGUCUCCUACGGAAGUACCAGACCUUAAUUCUUCGAAAACUGAGGUUACAAUGAGAGUAUUAUUGGAUCAGUUGGAAGAUGCAAUGCACUCAUUGCAGGUUUUCGUAUUUUCAAGGCAAUUGUGGCGCCUGUGUAUCAAUAGAACUAUAUUAUAUGAUGAGGAAGAGAAAUCUUGUGACACAGAUCACCUCAUUCUCCCACUUGGGAUUACUUUAGAUACAUUGAGAGUUGGCGUUACAUGAUUUACCCGAGGAUAAUUGGUGGAGUGCAACAAUAAGUUUAAGGUAUUUGUGGUAUCGCAACUGAGUUGUUGAAAUAAGCAAUUGGGGCUGAACAGCAAACAGGACAAAUCCCCAGCAGAAAAUGAUUGCAUUCAUGUAAUUUUUGUACAAGUACUGAGAUUGGAAUGUGUACAGAACACACGUUUUAUGUAAAUACUACUCAAAGAUGAAGAGGAAAUCGUGGUUGCUCCAUCGAGCCAAUUGGAAGACUGCUCACCAAAUUUUGAUUAUGUUUUCUUACAUGCUGGUGUGUAACGUAAGAAGUGACAGAAAAUUGCACUGGAUGCAGAGUCUGUGCUCCUCUACACCCUUCUGUCACGUCAACAGACUGGUUGCUACCUGAAAUGCAAAUGAGG